rnacentral:rRNA from 1 species
AUGUAUCUUCAUUGUGCUGUCCACGAGACACCCAAGCAAUGGCGGAAGUGGCUGUCCACCGCGGAGUUCUGGUACAACACAACCUACCACUCCUCACUCAAUACUUCACCAUUUCAAGCCUUGUAUAGGCAGGAACCAAACCUAGGAGGGUUGCCUACCUUGGCCACCAACUUACCUGAAGAUGCAGGAACAGAGUUCGACUGGGCAACACACAACACAAGGUUGCGUGCCCAGCUCUCGCGCGCGCAGAAUCGGUGCAAGCAGAAGGCCGACAAGCACCGCUCAGAGCGUUCCUUCCAAGUGGGAGAACAUGUUUUGCUCAAACUUCAACCCUACACUCAAUCAACGGUCGCCAACCGCCCCUGCCCCAAGUUGCCAUACAAGUUCUUCGGGCCAUUCACCGUCGAGCAGCGCACCGGCACCAUGGCGUACAAGUUGGCACUUCCGGAGGACAGCCGCAUCCACCCGGUUUUUCAUGUAUCCUAGCUCAAGCCGUUCACACCAGAUUACUCUCCGGUCUUCUCCGAGCUACCACGCACUCCAGACCUCACUGAUGCUCCGUUACAGCCCAUUACCAUCCUCGCCCGUCGCCUCGUCAAGAAAGGUAACUCCUCGGUGCUGCAGGUUCAGGUCCAAUGGUCCUCACUGUCGCCAGACUCUGCAACCUGGGAAGAUUACUCCAUACUGCGUCACCGAUACCCAACGGCUCCUUGCUGGAGUGAAGACAACGCUUCCGCUCAAGGAGGGGCGAAUGUCACACCUGAUGUGGGUACAUCAGUGGACUAG